rnacentral:rRNA from 1 species
GACGAACGCUGGCGGCGUGCUUAACACAUGCAAGUCGAACGAUGAAGCUGGAGCUUGCUCCGGUGGAUUAGUGGCGAACGGGUGAGUAACACGUGAGCAAUCUGCCCUUGACUCUGGGAUAACUGUGGGAAACUGUAGCUAAUACCGGAUACGAGGCUCGAAGGCAUCUUCGGGUCUGGAAAGAAUUUCGGUCAAGGAUGAGCUCGCGGCCUAUCAGCUUGUUGGUGAGGUAAUGGCUCACCAAGGCGACGACGGGUAGCCGGCCUGAGAGGGUGACCGGCCACACUGGGACUGAGACACGGCCCAGACUCCUACGGGAGGCAGCAGUAGGGAAUAAUGAACAAUGGGCGAAAGCCUGAUGCGGCAACGCCGCGUGAGGGAUGAAGGCCUUCGGGUUGUAAACCUCUUUUAGCAGGGAAGAAGCGAAAGUGACGGUACCUGCAGAAAAAGCACCGGCUAACUACGUGCCAGCAGCCGCGGUAA